rnacentral:tRNA from 1 species
GGUGGGAUACUCAAGCGGCCAACGAGGGCAGACUGUAAAUCUGCUGGCUUAGCCUUCGAAGGUUCGAAUCCUUCUCCCACCAC